rnacentral:misc_RNA from 1 species
AAGGCUUAGUUGAGUUGAGUUAAUCUUCAAAGCCAUUAUUGAGAAUCUUACAUGAGAUGAGUAAAAUGCAGGAAAUAAGGAUUUGCAAUAUACUCAGAGAAGUUUCAAAACAUUAAAUUUAACAGCACAGCAUUCAAAACAAAUCCAGGAAGCAAGGCACAAAAUAAUACAGUCAAAAUAACUUUUACAAACAAAUCGAAGCAGUAAAGCUGGAAUAGAGCACAACAUCAAAGCUUGAAUAUUUUCAACAGCAAACAGAAGAGGACAAAAGCGCCAACCUUCAUGACAAUACAAUCCUCCAAUUCUCCAAAUUUGCUCAUAUAUUCCCUCAAACCUUCUGUAUCCACCUCCCA